rnacentral:rRNA from 1 species
CCAAUAGCGUAUAUUAAAGUUGUUGCAGUUAAAAAGCUCGUAGUUGAACCUUAGGCCCGUGCGGGCGGUCCGUCCUCUGGGCGAGCACUGCUUCGUCGCGGGUCUCACCUUCUGGCGAGCGUGGAUGCCAUUUAUUUGGUGUCCGCGGGAACCAGGACCUUUACCUUGAAAAAAUUAGAGUGCUCAAAGCGGGCUCCGACGCUUGAAUACAUUAGCAUGGAAUAAUGAAAUAGGACGAUGGUUCUAUUUUGUUGGUUUCCGGGACGGUCGUAAUGAUUAAU